CAUGCAAGUCGAGCGGACAGAUGGGAGCUUGCUCCCUGAUGUUAGCGGCGGACGGGUGAGUAACACGUGGGUAACCUGCCUGUAAGACUGGGAUAACUCCGGGAAACCGGGGCUAAUACCGGAUGCUUGUUUGAACCGCAUGGUUCAAACAUAAAAGGUGGCUUCGGCUACCACUUACAGAUGGACCCGCGGCGCAUUAGCUAGUUGGUGAGGUAAUGGCUCACCAAGGCGACGAUGCGUAGCCGACCUGAGAGGGUGAUCGGCCACACUGGGACUGAGACACGGCCCAGACUCCUACGGGAGGCAGCAGUAGGGAAUCUUCCGCAAUGGACGAAAGUCUGACGGAGCAACGCCGCGUGAGUGAUGAAGGUUUUCGGAUCGUAAAGCUCUGUUGUUAGGGAAGAACAAGUACCGUUCGAAUAGGGCGGUACCUUGACGGUACCUAACCAGAAAGCCACGGCUAACUACGUGCCAGCAGCCGCGGUAAUACGUAGGUGGCAAGCGUUGUCCGGAA
rnacentral:rRNA from 1 species